UGUGUAUAUACAUAUAUAUAUAUAUACAUGUAUAUAUAUAUAUAAAUAUGUACAUAUGUAUGUAUGAUAUAUAUAUAUAUGUAUAUACACUUCUACAAAUGAUGUAUGACAAAUAAUGUCAGCUUGUGGCUCCAUCUUCAGGGUUAUGUCGACAUUGAGAGAGAGAUUGUCAAUUUGUCAAUUGUAAAUAUAUCUGAUGGCUUUAGAAUUUAAUUCUUCUGUCCUUUUUUUUACAGCUUUUAAGCAGAAAGGACAACAAUUCUGUAAUUUUUUUUUUCCUUUCUCUUCAUUGAUUAACAAACUGUGAUUCCAGUCUUCAAAUACUUCCCCCACCUGCCUCUCCUCCCCGCCCACCACCAACUUACUUGUGGCCAUUUUUGAUAUCUAAAAACAAAACACAGACUAUUUCUGAAAUUUAAAAGAUUUCUCUCCAUCAGUUGCUGGCUGCUGGAAGACAUUCAUUUUUGCCUCUUUUGUUCAGUGUCCCACCCUGUCUUUCGUCAACACACGGACCAUGUUGUUUGCUCUCUGUCUUUUUGAAGAUUUCAACCAACAAGUUCAAAUGUAUCUGCACACUUUUACACAUAAACACACACACAAAGUUCUAAUUCUGCUUCACGUCCACUGAGAAGUGUUGGUAUUCCACAGAAAUUCCUCCCAGAAAGCAAGAAUGGCGGUGAGCUGGCAGAAACGUUUGCACGCCGGGCGAAAUGCUUAGCAGUGUUUCGCCUGUCAUGACGUUCUGAGUUCAAAUUCCGCCAAGGUCGACUUUGCCUUUCAUCCUUUCGGGGUCGAUAAAUUAAGUACCAGUUACGCACUGGGGGUCGAUGUAAUCGACUUAAUCCCUUUGUCUGUCCUUGUUUGUCCCCUCUGUGUUUAGCCCCUUGUGGGUAAUACAGAAAUAAGAAAGCAAGAAUGGGCUUUUAACACACUCCUACACUACAUCUCACCACAUCAAACUGGUUACCUAAAACUAAUUUUUAUUUUUCUGCAUUCACCAUUUCUUUUUCUGUCCCAGAACAUUUUAAAGCUUGUUCAGCUUGCACUCAAUGACCUUUUCAUUCCAGUUUCACCAUUUGCAUCUCUGUGCAUCAUGUGCACUCAUUUUACCAGAUUUUUAUCGCUACCAUUUUCUUUGAAUGGUGCUUGUGCUGUUAUCUUUUAAUGAAGUUGUUGAAUUAACUAUUGAGAAUUGUUAUUUAUGUUAAAUUCAGUUUUUUAAAAAAAAAACCUUGAAUUACCAGCGGUGGUGCCCCAGCAUGGCCGCGGCCUUCGGGCUAAAACAUUUUUAAGGAUUUAAGGAUUUACCAAAAGAAUUCUGUCUAAAAUUGUUGUCUUAUUGUUUCUUACAACUCUCUCUGAUAUUUUCUUAUAAAGUUUUCAAGAAUUGAUUCUCUAAAAAUGUUAAAUUCUUUUUUUGAUUCCCUUCUAUGAAAGAAGAAUCAACCAAAGAUCGUUUACCAAAAAAGAAAAAAAACAACAAAACAAAACUAAAAAAAAAAAUACUGCAUAAUUAAUUCCUUGUGAAAAUUUUGCUAUUUCUUCUCCGUCCUGAAUUCGAUGUUGAUUAACAAGAGAUGAAGUUUUGAAGAAUUGUUAAGUAGAAUCUCUUAGACAAAUUUCCAACAAUCCAAAUAUAGAACUCUUUUACUAUCCUGCAAUGGUAAUUUGUGUUUUCUUCAAGGAUUCGUUUUUUAAAUGGCUGUGGAUGGCAAGAACCCUUAUUUUGUUUGUAAAUCUGUCCCUUCAUUGGUUACAGUAGCUCAGCUGUUGUUUCGUGUUUAUCAAGACUUCUUCCUGUAAAUAAGUUUGUAAAUAAAGCACAAAGCUACAUUUUUUUACCACAGAUUAUUGUAAUUUUAACAUCGUUAAGAAAGAUGGCAUCGCUAGUAAGUCUGUGUUUAAAAUCGGUUUUCGAACACUGACAAACAAUCUGUUUUGUAAAAUUACCAAUCAAAAUCUUUUGCUGUCUUUUGCUACUACUAAAGGUUUCUAUCAAAAUCCUCAUGAUUGUCCAGAAACAAUAAAAUACUCGCUGUGGUUAAUUAAAAUCUAAUGAAUUUGUUGUCAUCAAGUUUUACUAGCACUCAUUACCCAGUUUCAUUCAAUGUGGAUUUUCUGUGUCAAACCUUGGCUAUUUUUUACAUUUUCAUUUCAAUGUAUUUGGGCAAACUUCUGUUAUAUUUACAUUGACCUAUUGAGGUACUGGCCAUACUUAUAUAUAAGCCAUAAUGGACCUUUGGCCAUCUCAUAUAUCAUACAAAAUAUAAACCAUCUGAUAUUUAUUUUGUGUAAUUCUUUUAGAUAAUAGUAUGUGCUAUUGUCGACACAAAUUCCUUAUUCCAUUAUUGUCUUGGAUUUUUAAUUAAAUACUUGGCCACUAAAAUAGGUGACCUUACCAAUAUCACAGGAACUGUUUAGUCUAUUGGAACAUCAAUUAAUUAUAUUGACAAUAGAUCAAUACUUGUAGUCACAUAACGAUAUUUAUAUACAAUUCAAACCAAAACUUUCUUCUUUUUAUUAUGAAUCUUAUUGGUUUGAUGAAAAUUGCCUUCUUUAAUAGAAUAACCAAGAAUUAGUAGUAGACCUUCCUAUACUAUAUACAACACAAUAUGCUAUAGUAUAUAGUAAUAUCAUCAUUGUUAUCAUUUAACAUCCAUUUUCCAUGCUGGCAUGGGUUGGAUGAUUUGACAGGGGCUGCACCAAGCGCCAUUGUCUGUUUUGGCAAGGUUUCUGCAGCUUGAUGCUAACCACUUCACAGAGUGUGCUGAGUGUUAUUUAUGUGGUACCAGCACCAGUGCUUUUUACGUGCCGGUGCCAUGAAACGGCAUAUAAAAAAAACUACAACAUACUAUACAAAUUCUAUAGUAAAGGGUGUUCAAAAAGUCUCUCCGCAAUAAGUGUUUUAUUGCGAAAUAAAUAUUUACAAGAUGGUAUAAAGACUACAAAAAAAUAUAUUAGACUUUACAAGACUUUAAAAAACUUUAUAAAAGGUGUUGAAAAUGUCGUCCUUCAUUUUCAAUAGAUAUGUUGACUCUUCUACCCAUGUUUUGAAAUAUAUCUUGGAGAGUCUGAUGUGGUAUGGACCGUGUGAUGGUUAUUAUUGCAUCUUUUAGCUCAUUAAUGGUUUUCAGGCGAUUCUUGUACACUGAUCCUUUACUUGCUCCCCAGACAAAAAAAUCUGGCGGUGUUAAAUCAGGCGAUCUUGGUGGCCAAAGUCCCUUCGAAAUAAUCCAUUCACUGAAAAACUCUUGGUGAUGCUCGAAGUAUGUGCAUCAUGCUGAAAGUAUACAUUAUUACUUUCACUUUCAGUGAGUUGGCCUCCAAAUGGAUGGACGAUAUCUGAGCAACAUCUCUCAGUGUUGAUGGUGUUUUCAUAAAAUUCACUGCUGAGAGAUUUUUCGAACACCCUGUAUAUAUAAUAAUACAUAGUAUAUAGUAAUGAUAUACUCAGUACAUUACAAUAGACUAUAUAAGAUGCGGAAGUGCAUCUAAUUCCCAGAACAAUACGGUGAAUUGUGGGAAGCCAUUUUAAUUUAGUUUUUUCAGUACUUCAGGUUAAAUAAAAAUGUGAUGCAAGAUACUAAAAUGCGAUGACCGAUACCUGUUCUGAGACUUUAAUUUAAAAUGUUAUACUCCUUGCAAUAGAAACAAGCUAUUGUCCCAAUUAUAUCAUUAAAAAUGAUAACGAGAGACUUAUUAACAUAUAGUUUCAAAGCAAACAGCUUUCAAAUUCCAAUUUGUUAAUGGAGAUUUGACUAUUAGUCCUAAAUGUAUUAUGUAUUACGGUUGGUCUUUUUAUAUUAAUUUAUAUAUCAUCAUCAUCAUUAUCAUCAUUAUUUGGCAUCCUUUUUUCCAUGCUGGCAUGGGUUGGACAGUUUGACUGGAACUGGUUAGGCAGAAGGCUGCACCAAGUUCCAAUGUCUGUUUUUGGUAUAGUUUCUGUGGCCUGAUGCCCUUUUUAAUGUCAACCAAAACGGUGUACUGGUUGCUGUUUUUGUGGCACCGGUGGCAGUAAGGUCAUCGAGUAAUUUGCAAGGCAGGACCCCUUAACUGAGCGGGGUAUAAUAUUGCAGGAUAUGAAGGUAUGAUAGAGGAAUAGAGUUAUGUGUCUUGCUGAAGAAGUGAAUAUGAUAUGUACAUUAUUGACAUUGGACAGAUAGGUGUCCUUAUCUUGUCUGGUGUUACAACGUUUCAGCUGAUGUACUCCCCAGCCUUCAUCAGGUGUUCUGGUGGAAUUUCAAAGCCAACCCUUUAUUUGACUAAUGGGGUAUUCUGUUCUCAUUCGUAAGUUAUUUUUUGUUGUUAUAGCAUAGUGGUUAAGAGCGUGGGCUACUAACUUUGAGAUUCUGGUUCAAUCCCAGACAGUGACUUGAAUAAAUAAUGAUAAUAAUAACAUCAGCAAAAAAUACCUUAGGAAUGAGAACAGAGUACCCCAUUGGUCAAAUAAAGGGUUAGGUUCAAAAUUCUACCAGGACACCUGAUGAAGGCUGGAGAGUACAUCAGCCGAAAUGUUGUGGUAACAACAAAGAUGAGGGCACAUGUCUGUCCGUUGCAAAUAAUGUCCAUAAUUCCUCAUCCCCAAAAUAUAGAACUGAAUAUAAUAUGGUUUACUGAUCUGGAAAGAAAGAGAGAGAGAGGGAUGUGAGGUCAAGGGUAGAAGGUGAAUAUUAGGGAGAGAAAAAUAGAGAUAAAGGGUCAGAAAAAGAUGGGUUGGUAGGGAAGUGAAAAAGAAGUGUGA